GUUGAUGUAAUGAUAUCCACCUUGCAAAAGCGUUUCAAUAUGCGGGUCUAUCCUUGGUGGGACCUUCGAGUUCCUUUUGGAUAGGGUCGCAUAUUGGGCGUGACAUGUACUGUGUUGGUAGUUGGCUCCUUUCUUUUCUCUUCUUUCGCCAUCGUACCCAUCUUGCUGAUCUGAUGUGUAUCUAUCAAUUUGAUGCAACGUUGUCAUCUUAUUUUCAUGACGGCAUGGUCUCUCGACGUGUGAUGGAUUCACUCACACGGAGGAAGCUUUUCUCCGCUACUCCGGCGACAAGCGCACAAGCUUUUGGGUCCAUGGCGCCACCGGUAAACAAGAACAACUCUGGGUGCUUGGUUCUGUCUCUGGAUAAGUGAAAAUAGAUGGCAGCGAAGUUGAACUGGUUUUGCAAACACUAGCAAGUAUUUCUUCAUCGCUUCCAUCGUGCAAGUUGCGCUAGCAUUGCGGGCAUUUUUCUUCAUAUUUGGGAAGAGGGGAUGAGGUUGAAAAAUGAAGCUGGUGAUGAAAAGAAUGGAGGGCACCCGCAAAGUGAUGACGAGGAAGGAGCCCUGCAGGAGACAGCUUUCAGAGCUUGAAGAAGAUGGUCUCACAUCCACGUUGAUCUAUGAAAAUAGCAAGCGGCGGCGGCGACGGACUGGUCACCCCGCAACACCAUUCUUCCUUCACGGUAACUAGCUACGACAAGUGCUUCCGUCAUUUCUUUCGUGUUGAGAAGGCAGAGUCAAGGGCGCGAACAUGAGGUAUUCUGUGACUUUCUUCGGAGAGGCACUAAAGCGCAAAGGUCGUGACGUGUAACGAUUUAAUCAAGGAGACAACCCGGUCGAGCUAUCAAGUAUUAGGCUAUAAUAACCUAACUAAGAAGUUUUAUUAUCUCGCAUUGCAUCUUGCUUGAUCAACACAUGCCAUGACCUGGUUAUUGUAUUUGUUAUAUUACAAUGGAUAGUCUUGGCUUGCUUUUGGACUAAAGCCUUUUGGUCUAUGUAUAGCUUGAUUUUGGACUGAAGCCUUUUGUUGUUUCGUGAACCAAUUCCUAUGUCCUGAAUGUGUAUGUAUCGAUGCAAUGAUUCUGAUAUAAAAUUAAUAUACUCCCUCCGUUUCUUUUUAGUCUGCAUAUAAGGUUUGGUCAAAGUCAAGCUUUGUAAGGUUUGACUAACUUUAUACCAAAAAAUAUAAACAUUGACAAUAUGAAAUCAAUAUUAUCAGAUGCAUCAUAAAAUGUGUUUUCAUAGUAUAUAGUUUAAUAUUGUAGAUGUUCAUAUUUUUUUAUAUAAAUUUGGUCAAACUUUAUGUAGUUUGACUUUGACCAAAUCUUAUAUGCGGGGUAAAAAGAAACGGAGGGAGUAUUAGAUUGAUAAACACACCUAUAUUAUGCUAUUUUUUAUUUUUGUAAUGCUUCAAUGACUGUAUUAUCGGGUUGGAUAUGACUAUACCUGACAGCAGUGCUGUCGGGUGCGGUAAGCCGCACUUCCUACCUAGUAUUAGAUGUUGAGGCAUGGGAAUGCUCAAGCUGAAGCUACUUGAUAGGGUUGUACUCCAUAGUAGGCAGGUUUGCAUUUUUUUACCACGUAAACUGGCUACUGUUUGUUCAUACGAUUUUAAUGAAAAAUCCACGUCGGCACUUGCUUCUACUGGCUCAGCCAGCGCAAGGGCCGCAUCGUCCACUACGACGCCGCUCGUGGCGGGCGCUGCUACGCGAGCCGCCGGAGGCGGAGCAGUCCAAGUGCCGGGUGGGGCGGGCGCUGGGCAAGGUGGGCGCGGCGCUCCGGCUAUGCGUGUUCGACAUCCGUGACGAGAAGGGCGACUCGAUGCUCCCGCAUGACGGCCUGGAGGGCGUGCACGGCGUGUGGCUGAUGGAGGGCGUGUCGGCGGCCUCGCGCCCGUCGUGGUAGCGCAUGCACGAGGAGUUGGUGGAGGACAUCUUGGUGUGGUACUUCCUGACCGGCGUCGAACGUGCAAUUCUUCAGGAGUGCGAGACAUCCCAUGCUCACGUAUACCUAUUUUUAUCUUUAUCUUUUCUUUACCUACUAAUCUUUACCUCGUGUGGAGAGGAGGUAGGUCGUCCCUCCUUGCGGACGCACGAACGAGGGUCUCAUGCUGCCGCCGUGCAUCAGGUGUUCCUGUUGUGCCCCCCUUGCUGCGUAGUUUUCAGCUCAUAGAUUAGAAGGCAAGGAUGUACUUGAGCGGUAUGAGAAGACCCAAUUCCGUUAUCUCAUAAGUCAGAAGUUUCCCAUUUACUGACUUUGGUACUACUUUUAAAAUGAACAGUCAAUCUACUAUCAACACCAUGAGUAUGUGUCAAUUGUAGAUUCUUAAUUGCUUAGAAUUAUUUUAUUUGUUU